rnacentral:rRNA from 1 species
AGAGUUUGAUCAUGGCUCAGAUUGAACGCUGGCGGCAGGCCUAACACAUGCAAGUCGAACGGUAACAGAAAGCAGCUUGCUGCUUUGCUGACGAGUGGCGGACGGGUGAGUAAUGUCUGGGAAACUGCCUGAUGGAGGGGGAUAACUACUGGAAACGGUAGCUAAUACCGCAUAACGUCGCAAGACCAAAGAGGGGGACCUUCGGGCCUCUUGCCAUCGGAUGUGCCCAGAUGGGAUUAGCUAGUAGGUGGGGUAAAGGCUCACCUAGGCGACGAUCCCUAGCUGGUCUGAGAGGAUGACCAGCCACACUGGAACUGAGACACGGUCCAGACUCCUACGGGAGGCAGCAGUGGGGAAUAUUGCACAAUGGGCGCAAGCCUGAUGCAGCCAUGCCGCGUGUAUGAAGAAGGCCUUCGGGUUGUAAAGUACUUUCAGCGGGGAGGAAGGGAGUAAAGUUAAUACCUUUGCUCAUUGACGUUACCCGCAGAAGAAGCACCGGCUAACUCCGUGCCAGCAGCCGCGGUAAUACGGAGGGUGCAAGCGUUAAUCGGAAUUACUGGGCGUAAAGCGCACGCAGGCGGUUUGUUAAGUCAGAUGUGAAAUCCCCGGGCUCAACCUGGGAACUGCAUCUGAUACUGGCAAGCUUGAGUCUCGUAGAGGGGGUAGAAUUCCAGGUGUAGCGGUGAAAUGCGUAGAGAUCUGGAGGAAUACCGGUGGCGAAGGCGGCCCCCUGGACGAAGACUGGACGCUCAGGUGCGAAAGUGUGGGGAGCAAACAGGAUUAGAUCCCCAGG